rnacentral:lncRNA from 1 species
GGAGGGCGCGCGCGGCGGCUGCAGGAGGACGUGAGGCCCGUGAGGUCCGUGAGGCGGCGGCCGGGCGGCCGGGCGGGACGGGGGAAGCGUGAGGUUGAUUGCAGCGAUGUGGUGUCUCACAGACGCACAAAAGGGGCUAAUAGUAACAGCUCUGUGCUUUUGUGGAUGUUCUGAUUAACAAGACCUGCUGGGACAGAACAAGAGGAGGAGUGACAAAGCAGUAAGUAUAAUUAUUCCUUUGCUUCUUGAGGAUGCUCAGAAGAAAAUCUAAUUUAGCAAUGCCUGGAGCAGCAUCUGACUUACACUUGAGGUUUGU